rnacentral:misc_RNA from 1 species
UUUCCGUAGGUGACCUGCGGAAGGAUCAUUAAUAAAUGGUCUACGUUUUUUAAGUAGACGCUUAAUAAUCCUACCCUUUGUGAAUUUGUUUGUUUGAAAUAAUUUUUUUUAAAAUUAUUGAAUGUCUUUCCCUGUUGAAUUGGUUGUCUUUAAUGGCAAGUGAUUCGCAGGGGAGUGUCAAUAAUUUUUAAAAGACCUUUUUUUAAAAUUAAACUUUUUGUAUUCAUUUGUCUAAAAAUUAUUUUUAUAAUAUAAAAACGACUUUUGACAAUGGAUCUCUUGGUUCUCGCAACGAUGAAGAACGCAGCAAAAUGCGAUAAGUAGUGUGAAUUGCAGAAUACGUGAAUCAUCGAAUCUUCGAACGCAUAUUGCACUUUUUUAGUUUACUAAAAAAGUAUGUCUGUUUGAGUAUCAGUAAAAUAUUCUCAUAAAAAACAUUGUUUUUUAUGGUUAUGAGUGUUUUACAACGAUACAAGUUGUUUCACUUUAAAUUUUUUUAAAAUUUGAAUUUUUCUAAUUUUAAAAUAAAAUUGGAUAAAAUUUUCCCGUAAAAAGGAAUAACCUAAACAAUUUUAAUUUUUGAUUAGAAAAUCCAAACUAAAAGGAAAAUUUAACUAAAUAACUUGAUCUCAAAUCAGAUAAGAGUACCCGCUGAACUUAAGCAUAUCAAUAAGCGGAGGAAAAGAAACUAACAAGGAUUCCCUUAGUAACGGCGAGUGAAGCGGGAAGAGCUCAAAUUUGAAAUCUUCAAGGUUUUACCUUGACGAAUUGUAGUUUAAAGAAGUGUUUUCUGUUGAAGUUUUGGUAAAAGUUCUUUGGAAUAGGACAUCAUAGAGGGUGAGAAUCCCGUAUUUGACCAUUAUUUUCAGCUGUGUGAUACACUUUCAAAGAGUCGGAUUGUUUGGGAAUGCAGUCCAAAAUGGGUGGUAAAUUUCAUCUAAAGCUAAAUAUUGGCGAGAGACCGAUAGCGAACAAGUACCGUGAGGGAAAGAUGAAAAGAACUUUGAAAAGAGAGUUAAACGGUACGUGAAAUUGUCAAAAGGGAAGCGUUUGACACCAGUGUUGUUUUCUCGAAAAUCAAUUAAAAAAAGUUGGAUUUUGUGUUGUAUUGACCUUAACAGCUUGCUUCACUCUUUUCCUGCUUUUUUUAAUGCACUUUUCGUUUAACAAGUCAACAUCAGUUUCUUUUGUUGUAAAAGGGUCAUUGGAAGGUGGCUUUCUCUUCGGAGAAAGUGUUUAUAGCCUUUGAUCUCUGCAAUCGGAGAGACUGAGGUCUGCAGCGUAGAUCCUUCGGGGUUAGAUACAUUUGUGCUAAGCUACAGCUUUUCAUAGACAACUUGUUGACUAUGUUUAGUCUUGUGACUUACCCGCUUAUGCUAUUUUACCUACGCUUAGGAUGUUG